rnacentral:rRNA from 1 species
GACGGGGGGGGCAAGUGUUCUUCGGAAUGACUGGGCGUAAAGGGCGCGUAGGCGGUGAAUCGGGUUGGAAGUGAAAGUCGCCAAAAAGUGGCGGAAUGCUCUCGAAACCAAUUCACUUGAGUGAGACAGAGGAGAGUGGAAUUUCGUGUGUAGGGGUGAAAUUCGUAGAUAUCGGGAGGAACACCAGUGGCGAAGGCGGCGAUCUGGGUCGAUACUGACGCUGAGGUGCGAAAGCGUGGGGAGCAAACAGG